rnacentral:rRNA from 1 species
CAGCUCCAAYAGCGUAUAUUAAAGUUGUUGCAGUUAAAAAGCUCGUAGUUGGAUCUAGGGACGCGCAUUUCAAGCGCCCGUGCCAUCGGGUCAAACCGGUGGCUGCGUUGGCGUUGCGGGCUCGGUCCGUCGGUGCCCCACAAAGGUUAUCGGCGUGUCAACCGGCCCGCCCGUCCCCUCCUUCUGGAUUCCCGUUCCUGCUAUUGAGUUAGUGGGGACGUCACAGGGGGUUCAUCGUCGGCGUUUCAACGCGUCGGCGGUGGAUCUCUGGGGCCCAGAUCGUUUACCGUGAAAAAAUUAGAGUGUUCAAAGCAGGCAGAUUCAAUUUUCUGCCACCGAAUACAUUAGCAUGGGAUAAUGGAAUAGGACCCUGUCCUCCUAUUUUCAGUUGGUUUUGGCAGCGCGAGGACUAGGGUAAUGAUUAAUAGGGAUAGUUGGGGGCAUUAAUAUUUAAUUGUCAGAGGUGAAAUUCUUGGAUUUAUGAAAGAUUAACUUCUGCGAAAGCAUCUGCCAAGGAUGUUUUCAUUAAUCAAGAACGAAAGUUAGGGGAUCGAAGACGAUCAGAUACCGUCGUAGUCUUAACCAUAAACGAUGCCGACCAGCGAUUAGGAGACGUUGAAUACAAAACACCACCAUCGGCGCGGUCGUCCUUGGCGUUCGUGUUCACGCACGAGCGCGAGGGCGGCUUAGCCCGAUGGCACCGGUGAA